rnacentral:rRNA from 1 species
ACGGAGGGGGCUAGCGUUGUUCGGAAUUACUGGGCGUAAAGCGCGCGUAGGCGGACUGGAAAGUUGGGGGUGAAAUCCCGGGGCUCAACCUCGGAACUGCCUUCAAAACUAUCAGUCUGGAGUUCGAGAGAGGUGAGUGGAAUUCCGAGUGUAGAGGUGAAAUUCGUAGAUAUUCGGAGGAACACCAGUGGCGAAGGCGGCUCACUGGCUCGAUACUGACGCUGAGGUGCGAAAGCGUGGGGAGCAAACAGG